UGGGGAUUAUUGCACAAUGGGCGCAAGCCUGAUGCAGCCAUGCCGCGUGUAUGAAGAAGGCCUUCGGGUUGUAAAGUACUUUCAGCGGGGAGGAAGGGAGUAAAGUUAAUACCUUUGCUCAUUGACGUUACCCGCAGAAGAAGCACCGGCUAACUCCGUGCCAGCAGCCGCGGUAAUACGGAGGGUGCAAGCGUUAAUCGGAAUUACUGGGCGUAAAGCGCACGCAGGCGGUUUGUUAAGUCAGAUGUGAAAUCCCCGGGCUCAACCUGGGAACUGCAUCUGAUACUGGCAAGCUUGAGUCUCGUAGAGGGGGGUAGAAUUCCAGGUGUAGCGGUGAAAUGCGUAGAGAUCUGGAGGAAUACUGGUGGCGAAGGCGGCCCCCUGGACGAAGACUGACGCUCAGGUGCGAAAGCGUGGGGAGCAAACAGG
rnacentral:rRNA from 1 species